rnacentral:rRNA from 1 species
CCCUUAGAUGUUCUGGGCCGCACGCGCGCUACACUGAUGCAUUCAACGAGCCUAUCCUUGACCGACAGGUCCGGGUAAUCUUUGAAUCUGCAUCGUGACGUGGAUAGAUUAUUGCAAUUAUUAAUCUUCAACGAGGAAUGCCUAGUAGGCGCAAGUCAUCAGCUUGCGUCGAUUACGUCCCUGCCCUUUGUACACACCGCCCGUCGCUCCUACCGAUUGGGUGUGCUGGUGAAAUGUUCGGAUCGGCCGUUUGUCGCGGUUUCCGCGUCAUGUGGCUGAGAAGUUCAUUAAACCCUCCCACCUAGAGGAAGGAGAAGUCGUAACA